rnacentral:lncRNA from 1 species
AAAUAAAAAAAAUGUAUACGGUUGUCGAUAAUAAAAUUAAAUAUUACUAUCGAAUAAAUUAAUAAAUAUAUAUCGAGAAAUAUGGGGGGUGCCGCCGUGUCUAGGCGCCAGCCAGCCCCCUUAGUAUUCGUAUAUCUUCCAUUUGAAAAACCUAACUUAUUACGCAGAACACGAUGGUAAGCGCAAAAAAAUUAUAAUUGAGUCCAAGAAAAACCAUUCAAAACGUAUAUUUUAUCUCCCACCGUGUCGAGAAAGUUAAUUGAUGACAUUUCCCACCGGCACGUACUACAAGGAAUUAAAACAUAAAUCGGAAAAUGUCCAGAUUAGCAAAAAAGUUAUCUCAUACCAAUGUGAAAUCCGAGUGUGGAAAAUAAAAUCACACAUUUCCAUUUUAAAAAUUUGCAGGAUUUUUUAACGCCGCUUCCUAAUCAAUUACGAUGACUAAACGACAGAUACAAUCGAUAUUCGUCCUUAUUCUGUAUAUCAUUGGGAAUGAAUAUCGAUCGUGUCUGUAUGGGCAGUAACCUUCCCAGAGGGGGCCGUCCUCCCUGGCUCCGAGCUGAAUAGGGAGUCAAGAGCGCGGAAUGCAUUCUGUGAUCUUUCUUGUAUAAUAAAUAAUAAUAAUAUUCAAUGUGCUAAGAAAGAAGAACGUGUAUUAUUAGUGUAUGGCGUUUUUUAGCAAUUUAAAAACGAUUAUACUGACAAGAGAUCGGUGGCCUUUAUCUAAUAAGCGAAGGGAUCGGUGGAACAAAAAAAGUUAAGAACUCCCGCUUAGGGAUUUGCUGAAUUCUUUCUGGUUCUAGAUGGGAAAACCGAGUGUUUCCAAGCAGCUAGUCCGGCAUAGGUGCGAGUGGUAGGGUUUCGGACCGAAGCUUUUCCGCAUAAAAAUUUUCGAUCAAUAAUUUGAAUUCUACACAUACACACCUUUCAGUUUUCUCCCUUUACCACCUGUUUUGUCUUUUUCUAACCGAAAGUUACUAAGUGGUGGAGCUAUUUCGACGCUAACGCUUAUCCUAUCCAUAUGUGGGGUGGAAUUGGCUACAAAUUAAAAAGGAGUUGAAAGACCGGCCCAAAUCCCUUCUCGAGAUGUCGAUUCGUCGGAUAGUUACUACGGCCGACAUCUUCCCUGGCCAAACUGUAUCGAAACCGGGUGGGCUCGAGCGGCUAGAAAUAAGGCGAGUCAGAUGGGGAAAAUGGCGAUUAGGCAAAUAUAAAUUAGAAAGCGAAGAAACUUUCGGACAGAGGUGGAUACAGCGCAUCCAGUCAAGCUACGCUAAGUUUGGCGAACGUAUUACCGCUGCCAGCUAUUCGAUGGCCCUCCGCCACAUUUUUUCUCGUGCAGAUUAGUGAUGUAAAAUUUUAAAUCGCAUUAAAGUUGUGAAUAAAUGGGAGUUUUCUAUUUUAUUUCAAUCGAUAAUACAGUACCGUAUAUCCAAAUUCAAUCAUCUGUAUCUUAUUAGUGUAACGAAUAAAUAAAUUUUCAUUAAUUUGUUAGUCUCGAAAAGUCUCUUCUGUGGGGAUCCAGAAUUCGAGUCGGAUGCGAAGUGUGGCUCCCCACCUCAUCGUAAAUUACGAAAGGAAUUUGAACGGAAUGAUAUUUUAAAAGAAAAAGAAACGAUAAAAAUAUG